AUCACGGUAGCUUAAGGGUAGAGUACCCUGCUAGAGACGAGGGUGGUACGGGUUCGAAUCCCGUCUGUGAUC
rfam:Culex pipiens quinquefasciatus supercont3.150 genomic scaffold, whole genome shotgun sequence.